UAAUACGUAGGGUGCAAGCGUUAAUCGGAAUUACUGGGCGUAAAGCGUGCGCAGGCGGUUCGGAAAGAAAGAUGUGAAAUCCCAGAGCUUAACUUUGGAACUGCAUUUUUAACUACCGAGCUAGAGUGUGUCAGAGGGAGGUGGAAUUCCGCGUGUAGCAGUGAAAUGCGUAGAUAUGCGGAGGAACACCGAUGGCGAAGGCAGCCUCCUGGGAUAACACUGACGCUCAUGCACGAAAGCGUGGGGAGCAAACAGG
rnacentral:rRNA from 1 species